rnacentral:ncRNA from 1 species
GUACGUUGUUAAGCACAGCAAUUAUUGAGGUUUGGUUCACAGCCAAACCUUUU